rnacentral:rRNA from 1 species
UGGUGGGUGGUGUAGCGGUCGGAGGGCCUUAGGCGAGUGGACGGCGGCGGCGGCGGUGGCGCCGGUCUCCGGUGCGUGGGGUGCGCCGGCGAGCUUGGGCUCCAGUCUAGGUUUGGGGUCGGUGUCCAGGCUUAGCGCGGCGUUUAAAAGAUACAAAACCAUGCCUAGAUCCCAACCGGCACCUUAAGGCCCCCGCCCCCGUUAAGCGAGCCUAAGGAGGUGCCGAGCCUAAAGCACGAGUACCGCCGGCCCGCGGUGUCUCCCGUGUCCCCGAUACUCCGCUCCCUCGCCCUCGGGCUGCGGAUCCGGCGGUCCUCCUCGGUCUCGGAGCCGCCGGCGUGGCCUCGCUGCGGCUGGCGGCGGCGCUGCCGCCCGCGUCGUCGCCACCGUCCCUUAAGAGGUUGCCGAUACCGGUGGCGGCGAGCGUGGGCGGGUUUUCGGCGGAGAGGUUCUCCGAACCCCUGGUCCCCGGGCCACUCCACGAGUCGCCCUCACGCAGUCUGCUGAGACCACCCUCCAGUCCGUCUCGCCGCCCCCUCUUAUGGUACAGGUCAAGAUCGUCCCUCCCGCUCCACCGCCACCCCCGCGGACGACGGGGAAGCGGGUCGUUUUUCUCCUUUAAAAGCGGGUAUUAAACCCUGUCCCUAUCGGGUUUUGGCGGCGGCAAUGUAAGACCACGUCACUGACAUUUCCCUCACCACCAUAGGCGUAGACGACUAUAUCGUUCACUGUUCUUUCACCACCUCAGGAGAAGACGAGUUGAGGGAGGGGGAGGGGGCGACGGAGGUGUCCCCGUGUAGGGUCUCUCCAACCAGCACCUCUUAAGUGGCUACCUACACCUGGAGCGGCAACUAUGACUGUUGUGACUCGUCAACGUGCUCGACCUCCUAUUAUUUCACGAACUCCAUCUCCUCUCACUUCAUUUCCUCCUUCUCCUCUCAUUUCAUUCUAUACUCGUUGACCAUCAUAAACAAGUAACGGUAAAAAACGUACAUACCCAUAAUUUAUUUAUAGAGGUAUACCUUAACAUGUAGUUACCACACGAUGUCAUGAUCUCUAUAUAAAUAAAGGAGUAAAAACUAUUGGCAGGGUUUCCUGCCCAUGUGUAUGUUGUUCAUAUAAUAAAGUGGACAACUCGUGAGUACUAACAUGGGCAUGUUGUUCAUAAACGUCAAGACUGGAUGCUCAACUCAUAAAUGUAUCACUAAAACAUAAUUAUAUAUAAAGGGAGUCGGUGACCUUCUAACGUUAAGACUCGUGAGGGACUAACAUGGGUAUGUUGUUCAGAAUAUCAAGAAAGUAUUCUCAACUCAUAAAGGUAUAUUGAAGACAUGAUUAUCUAUAAGGCUAGUCGGUCACUUUACAGGUUAAAACACCUAGUGGAGUAAAACGUUGAGACUAGAUAGAUAUUAUAAAAAGCUCAAUAGUUACAACAUAAGUAGUGUACCCCUUAUAAACAACUUAAUUUAGACUCGGAUGUUCACUAUAACAAUAGAGACAAAUAGAGUAAACAACUCGUUACUACAAUAAAAAUUCCGACGAACAACUCGUUAAGGUACCAGGACCCAAGUGUGACUUGUAACGUGGUGGAGCGGAGAGUAGCCGCGGCGGCAUGGCGGAUGUGUCGGAGGCUCAGUUCCGCAACCGCUACGAGAAGAAGGUACUACUCCACUAAAACCGCACUCACGCCGUAGAGAGGAAGACGAGGAAGGUUUGAGAGUUUAACUAACAGACGUCGAGUCAGUUAGAAGACCAAAGUAGACCCUCCCCCUACUGCUCCUGGACCGGGAACAAACACCACUCGUUGGUAUAUGGUCCUCGCUUAUCUUCUACGACGGUAACGGUUAUGGAAUCUUCCUACUACUUGGAAGAUUUGUUUACAUAAAAUGAUGAAAAAAAGACAAGUUAGUUCAACGACCUCGGAACGAUUACCCAAGCUAAUACAAUUAUACAAGCAAACUUUGUACUUUAACGUAUAAUACUACAAAGUUCAAUUGCUUAACGUGACCGAACAAAAAUCAGUUUCAUAAAACCUACUAUAUAUCAUAUAACAUUGUGGUUUAAGUUCUUAUGAAACACGUCAAGACAUCGUAUUGAACGAACUGGUGUUUCUACCCGAUACUUGGCUAACAUUGGAGAGAAAAAAAAACGUCCUAUCUACUAACAUUGGAGAGUAGUACGCUAAUAGGAGAGAACAUCCUAUUUGAUGAAAAUCACUUUCAUCAACAGCGGUUUGUAUAACAUACACACGGAUAGUGGUUGAAAUACUCUUUUCUAUCUGGUACACUACUUCAAGAUGUGUUCUAUAUAAACAAAGGUUCCUUUGAUAUUCCCAAGAACAAAAAAGAGAAUAGUAAAAUGGUGUACCAGAAGAAUAUGGUCCAAUGUUUUACACUCAAUAAGAACAUGACCAUUAGGAAAAGAAAUUGACACCGUGUCACAUAACUGAAUUAAGAACCUUAUAAGACACCAGCGUUGACAUACAUAAAGUCUAACCUACGUCAAUGUUAAUAGAGUUCCGAUUACUGUGCGAUCUAAAAGGUAUGAAGAUCCUCACAACAUGUAUACGUCUAAGAAUACUUCCACGUACAGUAGUUAAAGACCGAAGGAAAAUAGAGCCGUCUAUAACAAGUAUAAAAAGCCUGCGUAUUUUAAAAACCACCAGUCAGAUAAACACGUGCUUACUUGAAGGUAUUAAAUUAUUAAACCAGCAGAUACCAUCGUGAUAGUUGACAAUAAAUGUACUUUGGUAUACAUACAAGUAAUACGAAAUAAGAGGAUGGUACUACACUAAUUGACCAUUAACAUCGGAUAACUUCAAGCUCUUGUCGUAUCGUAUAAAUGGUGUUAAUAAUAGCAAAGGAAUACUCUAAAGAUCGAUCUUUUCGAUAAAUGUACCAUACGUAAUGGUGUUGAGAGAGCCUAGAACGUAAUUACAUAACAUCGUCUCUGCACGUAACGUGCACGUGUAAAUGAUACCCCUACUACUACGACUUAACCGAACGCAUCAAAGACAAUAGUAUUAGCCGUAGAACACGUGACGGCAAAGUAGUUUAUAGAUUGUGUUGAAACGGUAUCGGUAUGUUGUGGUACUUAGACAGUUCGUUUUUCACUGUGGUAGUCCGUUGGUUCCCUAUAUUAUCAUACCAUGGUGUACUAUUAAUUAAUUAAAUUUGUCUCUAUAUGUUUAGAAAACAACAACGAAGGAUAUUUCGUUUCCCGAAGUUGAAGUUUUAUCACCUAAUGUAUACGAAGAAUUGACAAAAAGAAAGUGUGUUGUACGUACCGUAAAAAAAAAAACACUAAAAUCAACGAGCCUACCAGUUGUUGCCUCCUGGUGUAGCACGGUAGCGUAUCCAUGUUAGGCCGGCGUGGCGGCUCCUGUUUGUUCUCGACCGCGGUAUCGGCGACUACUGGUUCUUACCCACAUCAACGGUAAAGAAAACCGUCCGUUUUACCGGAAUUACAUGUCAUUGUUCUCAACCCCAACAACGACCGGUAUCCAUCGUUCUUUUACAUAACUCUAAAACUCUAAGUUUCUCACAGGAAAGAUUACGGAGAUAAUGUCAGACGUGUAGAUGUGUGUAGUUUAAAUAAAUAAAAAGGAUUUAAGAAGAGGACUAUAGAUAAUUUUUACGGUAACGUUAUAAAUAUAAAGUGAAAUAUAAUCAUCAUUGUAUAACAUGGUACCGUAAGAAUAUAAGUCUCAUUUUUCUAUAAGUAUCGAAAAAG